ACACCCCUUCCAUGUUAGGAGUUUUAGUUAGCCCUGUGGAACUUCCCUGUGCUCUACAACUUUGAAAGGAAGAGACCUGGACUCUGAGUCAUGGCCUGGAUUUCUGUUUUGAUCGCACUUCUGGCUCACUGCACAGGGGCCAUUUCCAAGGCUGUUGUGACUCAGGAAACUUCACUAAUCACAUCUCCUGGAGGGAUAGUAACACUCACUUGUGGCUCUAGUACUGGGGCUGUUACCACCAGUAACUAUGCCAAGUGGAUCCAAGAAACAUCUUACCAGGUAUACACUGGUCUUAUAGGUGAUACCAGCACUAGAGUCCCACAUGUUCCUGCCCGAUUCUCAGGCUCCUUGCUUGGAGACAAGGCUGCCCUCACCAUCACAGGGGCCCAGUCUGAGGAUGAGGCUGUGUAUUACUGUGCUCUGUGGUAUGGUGAUCAUUUACACAAUGACACAAACAGAUGGCCAUCUUACCUUGCUCUUUUUGGCAGUGUCUCUGAAGCACGCUGGAGCAUGGUGAUGGAGUCUUCUCAGCUGUUUAGGCUUUAA